GACGAACGCUGGCGGCGUGCUUAACACAUGCAAGUCGAACGGAAAGGCCUGCUUUCCCUUGUGGAUUGCGGGUACUCGAGUGGCGAACGGGUGAGUAACACGUGAGUGAUCUGCCCCCAACUUGGGUAUAAGCCUGGGAAACUGGGCCUAAUUCCCGAUAGGACUGCAGGGUGGUGCCUGUGGUGGAAAACGAUUUUCUAGUGGUUGGGGAUGAGCUCGCGGCCUAUCAGCUUGUUGGUGGGGUAAUGGCCUACCAAGGCGGCGACGGGUAGCCGGCCUGAGAGGGUGGACGGACACAUUGGGACUGAGAUACGGCCCAGACUCCUACGGGAGGCAGCAGUGGGGAAUAUUGCACAAGGGGCGGAAGCCUGAUGCAGCGACGCCGCGGGGGGGAUGACGGCCUUCGGGUUGUAAACUCCUUUCGACCGCGAGGAAGCCACCUGGUUGGAAGGGUGGUGACGGUAGUGGUAGAAGAAGCACCGGCUAACUACGUG
rnacentral:rRNA from 1 species